UCCAAAUGCAUCCCAAACGUGUA
rnacentral:siRNA from 1 species